AAGUGGUAGUGAUCUGAAAGUGAACGACCUUCGGGAGCUUGCACAGGUGCUGCAUGGCUGUCGUCAGCUCGUGUCGUGAGAUGUUCGGUUAAGUCCGCUAACGAGCGCAACCCUCACUGUGUGUUAUACGUGUCACACGGGACUGCCGGUUUUAAGCCGGAGGAAGGCGGGGAUGACGUCAAGUCAGCAUGGCCUUUAUAUCCUGGGCUACACACACGCUACAAUGGUCUGUACAAUAGGUUGCCAAGCCGCGAGGCGGAGCCAAUCCAAAAAGCAGGCCUCAGUUCAGAUUGUAGUCUGCAACCCGACUGCAUGAAGAUGGAGUUGCUAGUAACCGCAGGUCAGCUAUACUGCGGUGAAUACGUUCCCGGGUCUU
rnacentral:rRNA from 1 species